AUUGAACGCUGGCGGCAUGCCUUACACAUGCAAGUCGAACGGUAACAGGUUAAGCUGACGAGUGGCGAACGGGUGAGUAAUGUAUCGGAACGUGCCCAGUCGUGGGGGAUAACUGCUCGAAAGAGCAGCUAAUACCGCAUACGACCUGAGGGUGAAAGCGGGGGAUCGCAAGACCUCGCGCGAUUGGAGCGGCCGUUAUCAGAUUAGGUAGUUGGUGAGGUAAAGGCCCACCAAGCCGACGAUCUGUAGCUGGUCUGAGAGGACGACCAGCCACACUGGGACUGAGACACGGCCCAGACUCCUACGGGAGGCAGCAGUGGGGAAUUUUGGACAAUGGGCGCAAGCCUGAUCCAGCAAUGCCGCGUGCGGGAAGAAGGCCUUCGGGUUGUAAACCGCUUUUGUCAGGGAAGAAAAGGUUCUGGCUAAUACCUGGGACUCAUGACGGUACCUGAAGAAUAAGCACCGGCUAACUACGUG
rnacentral:rRNA from 1 species